rnacentral:rRNA from 1 species
GACAGAGGGUGCAAACGUUGCUCGGAAUCACUGGGACGUAAAGGGCGUGUAGGGCGGGAAAGGAAAGUCAGAUGUCGAAAUCCCCAGGCUCAACCUGGGAACUGCAUUUGAAACUCCCUUUCUUGAGUACCGGAGAGGAAAGUGGAAAUUCCUGGUGUAGAGGUGAAAUUCGUAGAUAUCAGGGAGGAACACCAGUGGCGAAGGCGGCUUUCUGGACGGUAACUGACGCUGGAGAACGCGAAAGCCGUGGGGAGCAAACAGG